rnacentral:rRNA from 1 species
UUACAACUCUGAGCGGUGGAUCACUCGGCUCGUGUGUCGAUGAAGAGCGCAGCCAACUGUGUGAAUUAAUGUGAACUGCAUACUGCUUUGAACAUCGACAUCUUGAACGCAUAUUGCGGCCAUGGGUUAUCCCAUGGCCACGCCUGUCCGAGGGUCGGCUU